rnacentral:lncRNA from 1 species
UGAUCAUAUGUUUAAUAAGUUGUGAUUGAAUAGCUAGCAUUAUUUAGGAAUGUGCAUGGAAAAGCUUGUUGGAGAGCUCUGCAAGUGGAAAUUGCAGAAAGUUUUGCAAGUGUUUUAAGUGGUCAUAUAUGUCUCAUUAUUCCUACCAUUGUAGUUCACUUUACUAUACCAUAUAACAAAUAUUAAUUCUAUUUCCUGGUACACCUCCUUCACCUCACAUGAUAGACAAAUUAUAUUUUAUUCCACAAUAAUCUUGCUCUCCUUUGUUUCAACAACUUCCCCUGCUUUUUGCUAUUAUGAUCUUCUGCAACUUUAUUCCAUCAUUAUGAUCCAAUACUACUGUUUAAAAUGGUAUCUAAAUUGGCAAAGACAUACUAAAAAAUAUUUGGUUACAAAUAAAUUAUGAGAUAUACACAUGAGCCAAAAGACAGCCUCCUAACUUAUAUGGGACAGAGGCGUAAAUUCAGGAAAGAAUUAGAUUUGGCAAACAGCUAUUUUUACAAACAUGAAAUGGGAUGUCAUAAUAAAAUACUUCAACAUAAAUUAAUUUUAAAAUAUUUGAAUUGUGGUGAAAUGUACUGCUAUAAAAUUGGCUUUCAAAGGUAUAGGUUUUAGUUCUUGAUGGUAGUUUGAGCAGAAAAGUGCUCUAGACAUACACUUUAUCAGGUGUUAUUUUGAGACUUCUUACCCAAAUAAAGGUAGAUUAUUCCUACCAAUAUUGAUUAAACCUUAUAAAAAAAUCAGAAAGAUAGGAGAAAUACUUCAAUUUACAUGUAAUGUGGCCAACCUUAAGGGUAGGUGUCCAAGCUUCAUUUAAUUUCUUCAGUAGAGGCAGUUCUUGAAGCUAAUUGUAAGAUAGAAAGGUACUUUGGAGGGUUGCCAUUAAAAACAAUUUGAACUAAAUUUUGAUUUUUUUUUUUUUAUUAGCUAUCCAUUUGGAUAAAAAAUAGUUCUUUAGGGGCAAAAGUGGCAGAAAUUUUAGCAAAGCAUUAAAAUGAAUUGGUAUCUUAAAUGGAGAAAUGCCUGGGAUUCAACAAUACAAUUUGCUUUUUAUACGACCGCAAAAAUUGAAAAUUUUUUGGUCGUAUAUUGGUAUCACGUUGGCGUCAUCUUCGUCCAAAUUCUUUUGGUUUUUUCGCACUAUAACUUUAGUUUAAGUGAAUAGAAAUCUAUGAAAUUUAAACACAAGGUUUAUGACCACAAAAGGAAGGUUGGGAUUGAUUUUGGAAGUUUUGGUCCCAACAGUUUAGGAAUUGGGGGGGCCAAAAAGGGCCCAAAUAAGCAUUUUCUUGGUUUUCGCACUAUAACUUUAGUUUAAGUAAAUAGAAAUCUAUGAAAUUUUGACACAAGGUUUAUGACCACAUAAGGAAGAUUGGGAUUGAUUUUGGGAGUUUUGGUUCCAACUGUUUAGGAAUUAGGGGCCAAAAAAGGGCCCAAGAUAAGCAUUAUUCUUGGUUUUCACACAAUAACUUUAGUAUAAGUAAAUAGAAAUCAAUGAAAUUUAAACACAAGGUUUAUAAACACAAAAGGAAGGUUGGGAUCGAUUUUGGGAGUUGAGAUCCAAACAGUUUAGGAAUUAGUGGCCAAAAAGGGGCCCAAAUAAGCAUUUUUCUUGGUUUUCGCACCAUAACUUUAGUAUAAGUAAAUAGAAAUCUAUGAAAUUUAAACACAAGGUUUAUGACCAUAAAAGGAAGGUUGGGUUUGAUUUUGGGAGUUUUGGUCUCAACAGUUUAGGAAUAAGGUCCAAAAGGGUCCAAAGUUAUACUUUGUUUGAUUUCAUCAAAAAUUGAAUAAUUGGGGUUCUUGAUAUGCCGAAUCUAACUGUGUAUGUAUUGUUUGGCGAAUUGAUUUGCUCAAAGGCAAAAAACAAAUUUUAAGUUUAUUAGACCACAUUCAUUCUGUGUCAGAAACCUAUGCUGUGUCAACUAUUUAAUCACAACCCAAAUUUAGAGCUGAAUCCAGCUUGAAUGUUGUGUCCAUACUUGCCCCAACCGUUCAGGGUUCAACCUCUGCGGUCAUAUAAAGCUGUGCCCUGCGGAGCAUCUAGUUGAUAUAUUUUGUAUUUUAAUUAGAGAUGACACUCUGAUUAAAAAAAACCCCUUCAGCUAAAGCAAUUAUCAAUUUUUCCAUGCAAUAUUAGCUUCACCUAGUGUUUGGCGUAAUUUCUGAAUCACAUCCUUUGUACUAUGCAUGUUAAAAUGAAGCACUACUAAUUCUGUGUUACACACAAUUUUUUUUUUAAUUUUCUU